rnacentral:rRNA from 1 species
GAUGAACGCUGGCGGCGUGCCUAAUACAUGCAAGUCGAGCGAACAGACGAGGAGCUUGCUCCUCUGACGUUAGCGGCGGACGGGUGAGUAACACGUGGAUAACCUACCUAUAAGACUGGGAUAACUUCGGGAAACCGGAGCUAAUACCGGAUAAUAUAUUGAACCGCAUGGUUCAAUAGUGAAAGACGGUUUUGCUGUCACUUAUAGAUGGAUCCGCGCCGCAUUAGCUAGUUGGUAAGGUAACGGCUUACCAAGGCAACGAUGCGUAGCCGACCUGAGAGGGUGAUCGGCCACACUGGAACUGAGACACGGUCCAGACUCCUACGGGAGGCAGCAGUAGGGAAUCUUACGCAAUGGGCGAAAGCCUGACGGAGCAACGCCGCGUGGGUGAUGAAGGUCUUCGGAUCGUAAAACUCUGUUAUUAGGGAAGAACAAAUGUGUAAGUAACUAUGCACGUCUUGACGGUACCUAAUCAGAAAGCCACGGCUAACUACGUG